GAUGAAAGCUCCCUGGUCUGAGCAAGUGCUAGUGAGCUUAGCGCAGAGGACAGAGAACUACUGACAGCUUAUCAUCACAGUUUUGAUGAAAAGGUGGAUCUGGACCUCAUUAUGCACUCACUUCAUAACAUCUGUCAUAGUUGUGAGACCGGAGCGAUUUUAAUAUUUCUUCCUGGAUAUGAUGAGAUAGCUUGAGGGACCGCAUUCUUUUUGAUGACAGGAGAUUUGCUGACCAUGCACACAGAUUCUUUCUACAAAUACAGCAGAAACCAGCAUAACAGUCAAUGAUGUGGUAUUUGUUAUUGGCUCAGGCAAGGUGAAAGAGGUAUGACUGGUUAAAACCUUCUGUGACAAGUAAACUUCCUAGUGUUAUUCUAACAUAUGUAAUAGGUAAAUUUUA